GAUGAACGCUAGCGAUAGGCUUAACACAUGCAAGUCGAGGGGCAGCAUGGUCUUAGCUUGCUAAGACUGAUGGCGACCGGCGCACGGGUGCGUAACGCGUAUGCAACUUGCCUCACAGAGGGGGAUAACCCGUCGAAAGACGGACUAAUACCGCGUACACUCCAGCUUGGGCAUCCAAGCUAGAGGAAAUGAAUUUCGCUGUGAGAUAGGCAUGCGUCCCAUUAGCUAGUUGGUGAGGUAACGGCUCACCAAGGCGACGAUGGGUAGGGGAACUGAGAGGUUGAACCCCCACACUGGUACUGAGACACGGACCAGACUCCUACGGGAGGCAGCAGUGAGGAAUAUUGGUCAAUGGGCGAGAGCCUGAACCAGCCAAGUCGCGUGAAGGAUGACUGUCUUAUGGAUUGUAAACUUCUUUUGUAGGGGAAUAAAGAACAGCACGUGUGCUGUAGUGA
rnacentral:rRNA from 1 species